UAAUAACCAAAAUAUUAAUUAUUAUGCUAUAGUACAUAGUUUUAGUAAUCUCGAUGUGGAGAUAGUAAUUUUAUAGAAUAUAUUAGACUCUUUUUUUUUUUAGCUGCGAGAGUUAUGUCAUUUUUGGCCUUAAUAUAUAUUGGGUUAGGAAGUAAUACUAUUGCUAUUAGUGAUAGUUAUUUAUUUAGUAAAUGAGAUACUGCUUGAUGUUAUAUACGGUACCAUGUUAAUAAUUAUAGCAAAUAAAUAGUGGUGGCAGUAACAUUUUUAGGUGUGAAAUGGGGUUGACUUGUUUUAUAAAAUAGUAGCAUUAUAAUUCCUUAAACGUGUGUAAUGGUAUAGUAUUAUUUGAUAAUAAAAGAAAUAACAGUAGGAGUUUUACAGUUAGUUAGUAUGAUUAAGUUAGCUAAUUAUUAAGGUAUAAUUAAGGGUAAUAUUGAGUAUUAGUAGUAGUAACCGAUUUUCAAAUUGGAGAUAAGAAUUUCUUAGAGUAGUCUUAUUCAUGCGGUAUUUUUGGAUUAAUGCAUGGAAUGAAGUAGAAUCAUUUCCACAUAGGUUGGACGUGGGUAACCAUAUGUAAUUUUGGUCAUUAUUUUUAAUCAAAGUAAUAGAUGUAAACUAUGAGUAAAAUAAUAUUCUGUAAAAAUAAUAAUAAUGAUAGUGGCAUACCUAGUAGUGUGUCAUGGAAGAAAUCAAAUUAUAAAUGGAGUCUUACCCACACGUGGAGUAAGGCACUAAUCUCUCAACAAGUUUUCUGUAGAGAUUUAGGUGGAGGAUGUUGAUAAGUUUGAAUAAGUAAAUACUAAGAAAAUUCUUGGAAGUUAUUCUAGACACAUGCAUGGCAUAGAGAGAAACCUAUAGAAAUAUUUGGUUAUUUUGACUAUCCUACACGUGGCUAUCAAAUAGAAGCAGUUAGGAGACUUAGUUAUAGAUAAAGUUUAAAUUUGAAUUCAUAUUUAGCUCAUUUGUUCUCUUUGACCGAUUAUGAAGAGGGAGGUUAGAGUUUAGUGACUCAUUCAAAUAUUUUUAAUCUAAUAAUUGGUGUGUUCGUAGUUAAUUUUAGCGCCUAUAAAAAUCUCUAGAGUAAACUCAUUAUCAUCACACACAUAAGCUCUAUCAUAGUCACUCUCAACUCACUAGAAGCCAAAAACUCUCAACAUUGUAUCUCUCGUCCAUUAUAUACUACAAAGUUGUAGUUAUCUUCUUCCAUUUAUUCACUUGUUUCCUCAAGAGUGAAAGAUACUACACUACACCACGCCACAAAUAUGCUCUCAACAUUUUUAUCAUCUCAACAUCACCAUCACUCUUACACCGCCAUAAUAUUCUCAAGACCAUAAUUGUUUUCUCAUUUAGUCCUCCUCAAGUUUUGGAAAGCUUUAACAGUAGGCUUGGGCUCAAAGAGUUCAUCAUAGUGAAGAAUAGGAUUUCCCCCUAAAAGUUACGGAUAAUCAUUGUUUUCCAAGGAUCACUCUCAUUGCAAUCAAGGCUAGGACUCCACAUUCGAGAUUAAGGUUAUAAAACUUAGAAAGUCGGUGGCAAGUGAGACCUUGGAGGCUUGUGUGUGUACUCGCUGAGGACCAUAUAACUGAGGGUGGUCUAGGGCACGCUCCAUUUAUUUUAUUUAGUGUUAUUAAAUUAAUGUCGCAGUUAUUUUUAUUUAUUAAUUAUUAUGUCUUUUAAGUCCAAACUGAGCUCAAAUAUGAAAUAUUUUAUGUUUAUAAAUAAAAGCGACAUUACAGUUUUUUCGCAUUUUAACGCUUGUAACUAAAUUAGUAAUUUAUGAAAAAGUACGGGCGUUACACACUAAUAUCUAAAAUUAA